UACGUAGGGGGCAAGCGUUGUCCGGAUUUAUUGGGCGUAAAGAGCGUGUAGGCGGCUGGGUAGGUCCGUUGUGAAAACUCGAGGCUCAACCUCGAGACGGCGAUGGAAACCCUCCAGCUAGAGUCCGGAAGAGGAGAGUGGAAUUCCUGGUGUAGCGGUGAAAUGCGCAGAUAUCAGGAAGAACACCCGUGGCGAAGGCGGCUCGCUAGUACGGUACUGACGCUGAGACGCGAAAGCGUGGGGAGCGAACAGG
rnacentral:rRNA from 1 species